rnacentral:rRNA from 1 species
GCAGUAGCCGCGGUAAUACGGAGGGGGCUAGCGUUGUUCGGAAUUACUGGGCGUAAAGCGCACGUAGGCGGUUUUGUAAGUCAGAGGUGAAAGCCCGGAGCUCAACUCCGGAACUGCCUUUGAGACUGCACCACUUGAACGCCGGAGAGGUGAGUGGAAUUCCGAGUGUAGAGGUGAAAUUCGUAGAUAUUCGGAAGAACACCAGUGGCGAAGGCGGCUCACUGGACGACUGUUGACGCUGAGGUGCGAAAGCGUGGGGAGCAAACAGGAUUAGAUACCCCAGUAGUCCCUGUCUCUUAUAC